CCCUCCCUCUUUCUUCCUGCCUAACACAUGCAAGUCGAACGAUACCUUCGGGUCUAGUGGCGCACGGGUGCGUAACGCGUGGGAACCUGCCCUUAGGUUCGGAAUAACUCCCCGAAAGGGGUGCUAAUACCGGAUAAUUUCUUCGUAACAAAGAUUUAUCGCCUUUGGAUGGGCCCGCGUUUGAUUAGCUAGUUGGUAGGGUAAAAGCCUACCAAGGCGACGAUCCAUAGCUGGUCUGAGAGGAUGAUCAGCCACACUGGGACUGAGACACGGCCCAGACUCCUACGGGAGGCAGCAGUGGGGAAUAUUGGACAAUGGGCGAAAGCCUGAUCCAGCAAUGCCGCGUGAGUGAUGAAGGCCUUAGGGUUGUAAAGCUCUUUUACCCGGGAUGAUAAUGACAGUACCGGGAGAAUAAGCUCCGGCGAACUCCGU
rnacentral:rRNA from 1 species